GAUGAACGCUAGCGACAGGCUUAACACAUGCAAGUCGAGGGGCAGCGGGGUGUGGCAACACACUGCCGGCGACCGGCGCACGGGUGAGUAACGCGUAUGCAACUUGCCUAUCAGAGGGGGAUAACCCGGCGAAAGUCGGACUAAUACCGCAUAAAACAGGGGUCCCGCAUGGGGAUAUUUGUUAAAGAUUCAUCGCUGAUAGAUAGGCAUGCGUUCCAUUAGGCAGUUGGCGGGGUAACGGCCCACCAAACCGACGAUGGAUAGGGGUUCUGGGAGGAAGGUCCCCCACAUUGGUACUGGGACACGGACCAAACUCCUACGGGAGGCAGCAGUGAGGAAUAUUGGUCAAUGGCCGGGAGGCUGAACCAGCCAAGUCGCGUGAAGGAUGAAGGUCCUAUGGAUUGUAAACUUCUUUUGUGCGGGAAUAAAGUCGGGGAUGCGUCCCCGUUUGCAUGUACCGUACGAAUAAGCAUCGGCUAACUCCGUGCCAGCAGCCGCCGUAA
rnacentral:rRNA from 1 species